UAAGGUUAAAAGAAAAUCUCAUUAAGGUUCAAGUUAUGGAGACACAGUCUUCAUUUAUCUGAACCCCAGACACUUCCUGACUCUUUAAUUAACGCCUAAUUGAUUAACAAGGAUGCGGUUCUUUAGUGAAUUUCACCCACUUUCAUCAGACUCGGAGAAGGAAAAGUUGUUUGUGUUCGCCGGCACAUGGACUGAGGAGAGAAUUUAAUUCAGUUCAAAUAUUCAGAUUACAUACAAAAAGAGUCAAUGUGUGGUGUGUUUAUCAUAGUGGGAAAUCCCGCAGUGUCACUGAAAUAGCUGCACAUAAUUAGUAGGAAAGAAAGCAGUUGAUUAGCCUCUUAACGGCGUGUCUGUGUUCCCCAUUCCUCCUCUCUGACACCCAGACUCAUGCAGCCAUUAGCCACAAUCACCAUUCUCAUCCCCAUUACGAGCGAUGUGUGCUCCACAACCGCACACUUUUGUGCGCUUGACCCCACAAAUUCAGCGCCUCCGUGGGACUUGAGGCUUGUUUGCAGGAUCAAGGUUAGCAUCGCAGUUUUGGUUUUAUUGCACGUGGAAAUGGGAUCUUCUUGAAGUGUUCAGAGAUGAAAGCCUCAGGCAGCCAUGAGAAAAUGAACAAACAGGUGUGGAGCCCAGGAGGAUUUCAGGAAAGACAGCCUCGCAGAUUGAAGGAAAACGCUGUUAUCCAAGAGAGGAAAAGCAGCAAGAAGAAGAAUUUGAACAUGAAAAAAGUAUGAAUAAACAAAAGUAAAAAUUUUCCCCA